ACCCCGAUUGCGAAGGCAGCUGCCCGGAGCGCAACUGACGCUGAAGCUCGAAGGUGCGGGUAUCGAACAGGAUUAGAUAACCUGGUAGUCCGCACGGUAAACGAUGGAUGCCCGCUGUCGGCGACAGACUGUCGGCGGCCAAGCGAAAGCGUUAAGCAUCCCACCUGGGGAGUACGCCGGCAACGGUGAAACUCAAAGGAAUUGACGGGGGCCCGCACAAGCGGAGGAACAUGUGGUUUAAUUCGAUGAUACGCGAGGAACCUUACCCGGGCUUGAAUUGCCGACGAAGGCCAUAGAGAUAUGUCCGCCGCAAGGCGUCGGUGAAGGUGCUGCAUGGUUGUCGUCAGCUCGUGCCGUGAGGUGUCGGCUUAAGUGCCAUAACGAGCGCAACCCUUGUCCAUAGUUGCCAUCGGUUAUAGCCGGGCACUCUGUGGAGACUGCCACCGUAAGGUGCGAGGAAGGUGUGGAUGACGUCAAAUCAGCACGGCCCUUACGUCCGGGGCG
rnacentral:rRNA from 1 species